CAUAGUGACCCCAUAUCUCCAGAAGUUUCCAUAUUUGUAAGGUUACUUAUCAUACUAAUAAUAUAAUUCUCAUGGUUAUGCAAUGCCAUUUAACGUAUGGGAGCCAUAAUUACUAGAAACAUCCGAGAAUAUGCACUUCACUUCAAGGAUUAACACCAUGCAAACUGCACAGAUCCGUGAGCACUGCACCUCAAGGCCAGCUGGGAUCACUCUUUCAACUGUUGUACUGGGACUUGCUGCACAACUCCAUCAUGUCUCUCAGGCUCCUGCCCGCUAUCAUUAUGGACAAUGAUGAGGAUGAUGAUGGCAACUUCACAAAAUGGAUGAGCAGUUACUGGGGUCAUGGAGCAGAUCCUGGGAACUCUAGAGACAGAAAACGCAGUUUCAGAAGACCUACAAAAGCACAUGUUGAUCGAAGAGCAUCGCUCCCGACUGUGACACAGUUAAAUGUCAUGAAGCUGAACAGGCUGCAUACUGCCACCAUGGCGGCAACCCCCAGCCACAUUAAAACAAGAGAGGAGAAGGCGGAGGUCAGGCCCCACCAGAGAGCUCAUCAUGCCUCCUCAGAAGACAACAACCGUCUGAAGUCAGCCGUCCCUGAGAGCCACAUUACCACCAUCCCAGAGCUCACAGAGUCAAUUGAGAGGAGUCUAUGCCUCCGUGAUCAAAAGACCACGUCUCUGAGUGAUGAAAACAAGUUGUGCCUGAUCUGUCAAGAGGACAUGUGUAAGAGUGGAGGGGGAACUCAAGAGGUACACUGUACACACCGUUUCCACAAAGAGGUAAGACAUCUUUUGCACUGCACGUCUCCCCUGCACAGUGUUUACACUACCCUGGCCCUGUCGUUGCAAAGAAGUCUUAUUCAGUCCAAUCCCAGCAUGUCAUUUAUCAGAUCUCUGGUCCAUGAAGGCACCUCAUUCCUGGAGAUGCAUGAUGUGAAGUGGUAUGAAAACAGUCUGCUUAGACCUAAAAUCUAUCUCUUUGGAAGCAUGGCACACAAUAACAAUUACUGAUCCCUGGACUGGACACUUACUGAUAGUGAUGUCUCCAUAUGGUGGGUGCAGAAGACAGCUCGGAAGUUAGAGCAGUGUCGACCUCGCAGCAGCAGUGAAGCAGCAGCUUGCCGGGUGAUGAGGCUCUUGGAUGAGAGGAGGAGGUCAGCAGAUGAACCGGUCUCCAAAGAGAAAGAGAAAGAGAAGCACACACCCCGACGGCAACUGUCCCUGCGGAGACAUCGCUGAUGUCAUUCUGUGGAAGGAGAUUCAGUCCAUGUCGAUGAAAAAGCAAAUUGUUGUGGACAGUGAGAUCAGCGGUGGAAUGGUGGUGCAGUGAUUAGCGUGCUGUCACCUCACAACAAGAAGGUUCUGGGUUCAAGUCCUGGCCGACCCGA